CUAGAAAUGAGAGGUACAAUUUUCAAAUUACAUCACAACUUGAUUGCUAACUAGUCUUGUAGGUAUCAAUUGAAGGUACAUUGGAGGCUCUUAACAUCAUACUUUGAUAAUAGACGAAUUAGCAACAAGAAAUCGGUCUGCAUUUCGAGUUGCUAAAGAGUUUGAAUUCUUUACCUUGUAUUAGUCUCUGAUCACACUGCAACUAUGAUGUUACCAUUUAUUAUUUAAUCAAAGAGGCCUUCAUCAUGCCAAAUAUCAACUAAAAAAUC
rnacentral:misc_RNA from 1 species